rnacentral:tRNA from 1 species
AGGGGUAUAGCUCAGUGGUAGAGCACUUGUCUAGCAUAUGUUGGGGUCUGGGGUUCCAUUCCCAGCACCCCAA